rnacentral:rRNA from 1 species
UAGGGAAUCUUCCACAAUGGACGCAAGUCUGAUGGAGCAACGCCGCGUGAGUGAAGAAGGUCUUCGGAUCGUAAAGCUCUGUUGUUGGUGAAGAAGGAUAGAGGCAGUAACUGGUCUUUAUUUGACGGUAAUCAACCAGAAAGUCACGGCUAACUACGUGCCAGCAGCCGCGGUAAUACGUAGGUGGCAAGCGUUGUCCGGAUUUAUUGGGCGUAAAGCGAGCGCAGGCGGAAUGAUAAGUCUGAUGUGAAAGCCCACGGCUCAACCGUGGAACUGCAUCGGAAACUGUCAUUCUUGAGUGCAGAAGAGGAGAGUGGAACUCCAUGUGUAGCGGUGGAAUGCGUAGAUAUAUGGAAGAACACCAGUGGCGAAGGCGGCUCUCUGGUCUGCAACUGACGCUGAGGCUCGAAAGCAUGGGUAGCGAACAGGAUUAGAUACCCUGGUAGUCCAUGCCGUAAACGAUGAGCGCUAGGU